AGUGGAACUGAUUUAACCACUGGUUCAAGUUUGUCCAGUACAAAUUCAAGAUCAUCUCCAAGUGGAACCGAUUUAUCAAUGAAUGGUUUCAAAAGUUUAUCUUCCAACUCCUCAAUGAAUGGAAAUUUAAUCAAUCCAAAUAACCACAAUAGCACCAGUUUAAACAACAAUCGAACCAACAAUUCCAACAGCAAUGCAAAUAAUUUAUCAUUAAAUUUAAGUUCCUGCAACGGUGACAACGACAUUAACAAUGGUUCAUCAAGUCCAAGUGAUCUAUCAACAAGCGGAUCCCUGAAUCGCGGAAUAAACUCAUUAGCACCUAAUUUAUUAUCCUCACCAGCAGCAGUAGCAGCGGCAGCAGCAGUCGCCCGAUCAAAUUUACCAAUCGACAAGUUUGCCCAGUUGAUGGCAGCUCAAGGACAGUUGCUUUUAACGGCAACUUUGGCCCAACAAUUGCAACAAGCAUCAACAGUAAAGCAACAGGCGCCCGUCGCAACAAAUUUAAGCGGAUUCCCAUUGAAUGAUAUCCAAACGAUUCAACAACAAUUGCAACAACAACAGCAAAACUUUCAAAACCUUCAACAAUUGCUGCUCCUUCAAUCGACUGGACAAUUGAC
rnacentral:lncRNA from 1 species